UCCUACGGGACGCAGCAGUGGGGAAUAUUGCUCAAUGGGCGAAAGCCUGACGCAGCGACGCCGCGUGAGGGAUGAAGGUCUUCGGAUCGUAAACCUCUGUCAGCAGGGAAGAACGGUCACUGUGCUAAUCAGCAGUGAAUUGACGGUACCUGCAAAGGAAGCACCGGCUAACUCCGUGCCAGCAGUCGCGGUAAUACGGAGGGUGCGAGCGUUAAUCGGAAUUACUGGGCGUAAAGCGCUCGUAGGCGGUAUGUCAAGUCAGGGGUGAAAUCCCCGCGCUCAACGUGGGAACUGCCUUUGAAACU
rnacentral:rRNA from 1 species